rnacentral:rRNA from 1 species
GACGAACCGUGCAAACGUUGUUCGGAAUCACUGGGCUUAAAGGGCGCGUAGGCGGAUAGCCAAGUCGGGGGUGAAAGCCUCCAGCUCAACUGGAGAUGUGCCUCCGAUACUGGCUGUCUCGAGGGAGGUAGGGGUGCGCGGAACUUCCGGUGGAGCGGUGAAAUGCGUAGAGAUCGGAAGGAACGCCGGUGGCGAAAGCGGCGCACUGGACCUCUGCUGACGCUGAGGCGCGAAAGCCAGGGGAGCAAACGGG